UAUGUUGUCGUCGCUCAGUCGUGUCCAACUCUUUGUGACCCCACGCGCCAGGCUCCUCGGUCCAUGGGAUUUCCCAGGCAAGAAUACUGGAGCGGGUUGCCAUUUCCUUCUCCAGGGGAUCCUCCUGACCCAGGGAUCAAACUCUUGUCUCCAGCAUUGGCAGGUUUUCUAUCUUGAAAGUGAGAGGAAUAACAACAUCCAACCACCUAUCUCAUCCGGGUCUUGAGUGGCUUAACGGGGUCAUGUUUGUAAGGUCCUGGAAAACUCUCAGGAGAGAAAGUUGUACCACUUUUCCACUUUCGCCUGAUGAUGCCACCAUAUGGAUCAAAUUCCGUCUUCAAAUAGAAAGAGAUAUUUUCAAACAUCCUUGAACUGAGCAUGCAGAAUGAGGGCGGCAUGGUGCUUACAUACCCACUAAUCUCUGUUAUGACAUGUCUGCAUGACGGAGAGGAUCAUACUCCUGGGUUGAGGAAAGGAGGGCUGUCCACAGAUGACACGUGAG
ensembl:lncRNA